UACAGAGGGGGCAAGCGUUGUUCGGAAUUACUGGGCGUAAAGGGCGCGUAGGCGGCCCGCUAAGUCGAACGUGAAAUCCCCGAGCUCAACUCGGGAACUGCGUCCGAUACUGGCGGGCUUGAAUCCGGGAGAGGGAUGCGGAAUUCCAGGUGUAGCGGUGAAAUGCGUAGAUAUCUGGAGGAACACCGGUGGCGAAGGCGACCAUCUGGACGGAUACUGACGCUGAGACGCGAAAGCGUGGGUAGCAAACAGG
rnacentral:rRNA from 1 species